CGGCUCUCUGGACCAAUACUGACGCUGAGGUGCGAAAGCGUGGGUAGCAAACGGGAUUAGAUACCCCGGUAGUCCACGCCGUAAACGAUGUCAACUAACUGUUGGGCGGGUUUCCGCUUAGUGGUGCAGCUAACGCAAUAAGUUGACCGCCUGGGGAGUACGGCCGCAAGGCUAAAACUCAAAUGAAUUGACGGGGGCCCGCACAAGCGGUGGAGCAUGUGGUUUAAUUCGAUGCAACGCGAAGAACCUUACCUACCCUUGACAUACAGAGAACUUUCCAGAGAUGGAUUGGUGCCUUCGGGAACUCUGAUACAGGUGCUGCAUGGCUGUCGCCAGCUCGUGUCGUGAGAUGUUGGGUUAAGUCCCGUAACGAGCGCAACCCUUAUCCUUAGUUGCCACCAUUUAGUUGGGCACUCUAAGGAGACUGCCGGUGAUAAACCGGAGGAAGGUGGGGACGACGUCAAGUCAUCAUGGCCCUUAUGGGUAGGGCUACACACGUGCUACAAUGGCCGGUACAGAGGGCUGCUAACUUGCGAGAGUACGCUAAUCCCUUAAAGCCGGUCCUAGUCCGGAUUGCAGUCUGCAACUCGACUGCAUGAAGCUGGAAUCGCUAGUAAUCGCGGAUCAGAAUGCCGCGGUGAAUUCGUUCCCGGGCCUUGUACACACCGCCCGUCACACCAUGGGAGUGGGUUGCAAAAGAAGUGGGUAGGCUAACCUUCGGGAGGCCGCUCACCACUUUGUGAUUCAUGACUGGGGUGAAGUCGUAACAAGGUAACCGUAAAGGG
rnacentral:rRNA from 1 species